rnacentral:rRNA from 1 species
GACGAACGCUGGCGGCGUGCCUAAUACAUGCAAGUAGAACGCUGAAGGAGGAGCUUGCUCUUCUGGAUGAGUUGCGAACGGGUGAGUAACGCGUUGGUAACCUGCCUGGUAGCGGGGGAUAACUAUUGGAAACGAUAGCUAAUACCGCAUAACAGUAGAUGUUGCAUGACAUUUACUUCAAAGGUGCAAUUGCAUCACUACCAGAUGGACCUGCGUUGUAUUAGCUAGUUGGUGGGGUAACGGCUCACCAAGGCGACGAUACAUAGCCGACCUGAGAGGGUGAUCGACCACACUGGGACUGAGACACGGCCCAGACUCCAACGGGAGGCAGCAGUAGGGAAUCUUCGGCAAUGGACGGAAGUCUGACCGAGCAACGCCACGUGAGUGAAGAAGGUUUUAGGAUCGGAAAGCUCUGUUGUAAGAGAAGAACGAGUGUGAGAGUGGAAAGUUCACACUGUGACGGUAUAUUACCAGAAAGGGACGGCUAACUACGUG